GUGUGUAGACACACCUUGAUAACCCCUGUGUUAAUACACUCUAGGUGACUGGGUUAACACAAUAGUGUUGUCUAAGAGAAAGAAUUUGAUACUGAGAGAGGUCAUUGGAGCAUUCUAUGCAGGAUUUCUGGAUAACCACAACUCAUUAUUGGCUGGGUUUCCUGCCAGACAGAGUGGCUCUGUCUGGAAUCCAGGACUUGUCUAAGAUCUUUGAGGAAUGCAGUUGGAGGAGUUCUUAUGCUCCUGUCUGUACCCAAAGGCGACGGUUGGCUGCCCUCUUAGAAUCCUGCCGAGAAAUCAUAGAUCACAUUUCACACCUCAGUGUGAUCUCAUUGGAAGCUCCGGAGUAGAAAUGAUGCCAACAAAAUUGUAAGCGUUUGAGGUCUCUGAGUUCUGUCCAUGGUGGAUACUAUUAUAGUUUGCAUCGAAAAUGUUCCCUAUGAGUCUUACACGCGUUCUCGCGACCGGCCAGGAAGAACGCAACAAACCGGAAUCUUCUGCGGCAAAAGCUUUA
rnacentral:lncRNA from 1 species